GCGGACGUGUUGGAACUGGUAGACAAGCAGGCUUGAGGAGCCUGUGAGCGCAAGCUCGUGGAGGUUCGAGUCCUCUCGUCCGCACCA
rnacentral:tRNA from 1 species